UGCAACCAUAGAUAUCUUAUAUACACUAGAUAGCGCAUCUAUUUUAGUAAAAUUGAAGCCAAGAAUAUUCCAGCGGUUACCUCCAUUUGAAUAGAUGGCGGCCAUGUUGGUCGUUCCCACUUCCUAAUAAACGCUUAAAAACAACAAUAACUUUCAUCAUUUGAAUAGUUUAAAAACGUAUUUGGAAUAGGGUUAACUUCAUGUUUAAGUUCCGUGUUUAAGAAAUAGAAAAUAUACGAAUCUUCUCAUUUCAUGGGAACGACCUGAGACUGCAAUCACGGCU